rfam:Anaerosporobacter mobilis DSM 15930 genome assembly, contig: EJ17DRAFT_scaffold00002.2
UAGCAAAGCACUGCUAGUACUUCUUAGUGUGUACUAGAUAGUCUAGGAAGGCGAGGCAUGGAAGCCGAGCCAGCCAGAGCUGAGGCAGGAUGCCGAAUCGAAGGCGUUUCCGCACCUAUUGCAAAAACCUCUGUACACACAUAGAAGUACUAAAGUGCUAGCGUG